CCGGUUGCUCUAAUGUUAUAGCUACUAUCAUAUCCGAAUAUUUAGGCCCCUGGGGUAGGCCCGAUCCUGAGGCCAGGAGGAUGAGGCCUGCUCCUCAGGCCCAAAAUCCAAGGGGGCCUGAUUUUGUUGGCCGUUUUUUUUUUUUUUUUUUUGGAGUAAUGGUAGCCCAGGCCGCAGUCAAGAGUAGCCCAAAACUCUCAAGCUCAAGCUCAGUAGCCCACCUGUAAUCCACUAAACCCGAUCCACUAUCCAAUUUCCCCCAAAUGCCCAAAUUGAAAUCCAUUUCCCCCCAAAGCCAAUCGGCAAACGCUUCCCGUCUGAGCUCUCUCCGUCUGAAGUGCCAAUGUGCCAUCUCUAAGUCUCUCUCGCUCGACGCCUCGACUCGACAUCUCCUUAUUCCGCUUCCAAGUUCAACCCUAGGUAUCUCUCUCUUACUCUCUCAUAAUACAAAUGUAUACAUAUAUAUUGAUUUAGUCGACGCUUCGACUCGACAUCUCCUUCUUCAGUUCUUCCGCUUCCAAGUUCAACCCUGUUAGUGACUGGAUGUUGAAUAUAUUUGUUUUGGCAUUUUUUUUUCACCUCUUUUGUGUGAGACUUGAUAAUCAUCACCUAGGUUCAGUCAUAUCGGAGUCUCUAA
rnacentral:lncRNA from 1 species